CUGAUGUCAUAGUGUAAGAACUAACUAAUACAACUCAAAGUCAAAAUACAUAAGAUAUCCGAAAAGGACAAACUCUAUCUCUGAAUACAAAUCAAUACAAAGUCUAGAUGAGAAAAGGUAGUAGCCAACUCUGACUACAUAGAUCAACUACUACCUCAAAUGGGCUCAAAGUAUCGCCUAAAUCAGCUAUCGUGAGGUGCACUCAUACCUGGAUCU
rnacentral:lncRNA from 1 species